CAUGCAUGGCACAUUUUCAUGCACAGGAGAAAUGUUCAUUGUGGUGAGAGACCUGUCAUCUAUUAUGCUCCAAUGCUUAUGCGGGAGGGGGAGAGGAUCGCCAAUCUGAACUACAUCUACAAUUGCAGCGACACAGAGGCCCUGUGGAUGCUUCGAAUGAAAAGAGCAUCAUUUGACAGACUUUUCCAAACCUUCAGGAGAAGGGAGCUGCUACAAGAUAGCAUCCGCACCAGUGUGGAAGAGGAAGUGGCCAUGUUCCUCCAUGUUGUUGGACAUAAACCACGUUUCAGGGUUAUACACAACACGUUCAGAAGAUCAAUGGAUACCAUCUCAAGGCACUUCAAGCAAGCGCUCUAUGCUAUUGGGGAGCUCGUAGGAGAGAUGAUCAAGUCACCAACCGGCCAAACUCCUACCAAGAUUCGCACUAGCCCAAGAUGUAUCCAUAUUACAAGGUGA
rnacentral:rRNA from 1 species